AGCGAACGCUGGCGGCAGGCUUAACACAUGCAAGUCGAGCGGGCACUUCGGUGUCAGCGGCAGACGGGGGAGUAACACGUGGGAACGUACCCUUCGGUUCGGAAUAACGCUGGGAAACUAGCGCUAAUACCGGAUACGCCCUUAUGGGGAAAGGUUUACUGCCGAAGGAUCGGCCCGCGUCUGAUUAGCUAGUUGUUGGGGUAAUGGCCUACUAAGGCGACGAUCAGUAGCUGGUCUGAGAGGAUGAUCAGCCACACUGGGACUGAGACACGGCCCAGACUCCUACGGGAGGCAGCAGUGGGGAAUAUUGGAAAAUGGGCGCAAGCCUGAUCCAGCCAUGCCGCGUGAGUGAUGAAGGCCUUAGGGUUGUAAAGCUCUUUUGUCCGGGACGAUAAUGACGGUACCGGAAGAAUAAGCCCCGGCUAACUUCGUG
rnacentral:rRNA from 1 species